rnacentral:rRNA from 1 species
AGCGAACGCUGGCGGCAGGCUUAACACAUGCAAGUCGAGCGGGCGUAGCAAUACGUCAGCGGCAGACGGGUGAGUAACGCGUGGGAACGUACCUUUUGGUUCGGAACAACCCAGGGAAACUUGGGCGUAAUACCGGAUAAGCCCUUACGGGGAAAGAUUUAUCGCCGAAAGAUCGGCCCGCGUCUGAUUAGCUAGUUGGUGAGGUAACGGCUCACCAAGGCGACGAUCAGUAGCUGGUCUGAGAGGAUGAUCAGCCACAUUGGGACUGAGACACGGCCCAAACUCCUACGGGAGGCAGCAGUGGGGAAUAUUGGACAAUGGGCGGCAAGCCUGAUCCAGCCAUGCCGCGUGAGUGAUGAAGGCCCUAGGUUGUAAGCUCUUUGUGCGGGAAGAAUAAUGACGGUACCGCAAGAAUAAGCCCCGGCUAACUUCGUGCCAGCCGCCGCAGUAAAG